rnacentral:rRNA from 1 species
GACGAACGCUGGCGGCGUGCUUAACACAUGCAAGUCGAGCGGUAAGGCCCUUUCGGGGGUACACGAGCGGCGAACGGGUGAGUAACACGUGGGUGACCUGCCCUCAGCUCUGGGAUAAGCCGUGGGAAACCGGGUCUAAUACUGGAUAUGACUCCAGUGACGGCAUGUUGUGGGGUGGAAAGCCUUGUGCGGCUGAGGAUGGGCCCGCGGCCUA